GGAAGCGUGCGCUUGCGCAGGAGGCUCGCUGCGGACCGCGCGGGUCCUGCGGCUCAGGUUUCCUCAUUCUUUAUAUGGGUUUCAUCACUUGUAAUCCCUUCCAGCUGUGGUUAGCUCGCUGAUAACAGAGGACUAUCAACAAAGAGACAAUGGCAAAUCUACAAAUGAAAGAGGCAGCCCUUGUCUAUCUUGACAGAAGUGGGGGCCUUCAGAGGUUUCUGGAUGACUGCAAGUCCUACGAUGAUUCAAAGCAAAGUUACGCUGUCUAUCGGUUCAGUGUUUUAGUAAACCCCGCUGAUGUUGUCGAAUUAGAUGCUGAACUUGGAAAUCACAUUUUACACCAUCCCUUAAAAGCUGCUCAAGUUUUUCAAUCAGUCUGCUUCGUUGCUGUCAAGACUCUCUCAUUAAUUGGACAGUUACAGACUGAAACUCAAAUCAGUAUUGUGCUGAAGUUAACACACUUACCAGCCCUGCCAAGUUAUAGUCUUGACCUUUGUGAGUUUCCACUUAGUUAUACAUCUCGGAGAUUUUAUAUGAUGCAAGGAAUUGUGAUCGCAAUGACAACUGUAACCAAGUACACACAAGGUGCAAGAUUCCUCUGCUCAGAUGAAGCCUGCCCUCUUUCCAAAGGAUUUCAGUAUAUAAGAGUCCAUGUGCCUGGUGCUACCGAAUCGGCAACAGUAAGAAAUGACUUUUUGUGCAGUCUGUGCUCAUCUUCACUUCAGGAAGACAGAAAAUUUAGAGUACUUGGUGAUAAGCAGAUAGUCGAAAUCAUCACCACAAAAGCGCUUCAUGCUUUUCAAGGAGAUUGCAAAAAACAGCCAUUUAGGUUUCAAUCCCUUAGUAUUUUCCUAAGAGAUGAACUAGUGAAUAAAAUGAAAAUAGGAAAUGAAUAUAAAAUUAUUGGAAUUCCAGUCUGUAUCAAAACUUCACAAACUGCUCUCUGUGUAGAAGCGAAUAGUAUCACUCCUUACACAGCAAAAGUUCCUUCAGGAGUUAGUGACAACUUUAGUUGUCUCCUGUCCUUGACUUCUGCUUCAUGUUGGAAAUUCACGGCAGUACUUGCCAAUGUCUUUGCAUCACAGAUUGUUCCUCCUGGGACUUACAAUUUGCUCAAACUCUGUUUGCUGAUGAGCCUGGUACAGACAAGUGACGGCAACAGGCACCCACAAGACUGCUUGGAUAUUUUAAUUAUAACCACUGACACUCUGCUUGUAGACAGACUUUUGAAUUAUAGCGUGAAUCUUGUCUCCCGUGGCAUACGUCACCCUGUCUCUACUGAAGUUCUUCCUACUGUGUCUAGAAAUAAAUACGGAACUGGAGCAGUGAGCAUUCAAGCCGGCAGUGCUCUGCUAGCUAAGGGUGGGGUCUGCUUCAUAGGAGACCUGACAUCACAUAAGAAAGACAAACUCGAACAGCUUCAGUCAGUUUUGGAGAGCAGAAGCAUUACAGUGUUCAUCCCAGGAAAGAAGUUUGGGGAUGAUAUCGAUCAGCAGAUGACUUUCCCUAUUCAGUGCAGUUUUUGGUCUUUUGUUGAUAUGGAUUCAUCUUCAAAGAGAACUGUACAGAAAACCAGUGCUCCGAUUGGCCAGAUGGAUUGCAGUUUGAUUCCAGCUAAUCUUUUGGAGGCAUUUGGAUUGCUGAUUAACUGCAAUGAAUCGUCUCCUUGCCACCCACUUCUUCCUACUGUGCAACAUACUUUAAAGAAAGCCAUGGAUCCCAAGGGGUUGCUUUAUUUAGCUUCUAAAGAGUUCACAACUGAAGAUUUUCAAAAGCUCCUGGCUUUUGCACGGAAUUUGAAUAUAGAAUUCAGCUUGGAGGCAGAAAGAAUGAUUCACGGCUAUUAUCUAGCAAGUCGCAGAAUCAGAGCAGACUCUAUACCCAGGUCAAAGCUGUCAGCAUCUUCAUUAAAAUACUUUUUUCUUUUUCAGAGUUUCUUUAUCUGAAGCUCAUGCUCGACUGAACUUAAGAAAUAAAGUUCUCAAAGAAGAUGUGCUGAUUGCAGCCUUAUUGUUUGAAAUGUCUCUCACGUUGAAAUAUGGGGCCAGUGCAUUCUGUGUUGCUCCCAAUGCAUUGUUUCCAUUCGAACAGUAUAAUGAAGAGUAUUUAGAGCAAAGAGACCUCUACCUCACUCAGUGCCAGCAGCAGCUCCAGCAGUUUAUUGCCACAUGUGGGCCU